GAGCCGUGAAUGAACAACCACACUUGACAAAUGCCAAGAGGCGAAUAACGUUCUCUCUCCUAUCAGUAAAAUAGAACACCCAGUGCGUAUCAGUACGCAGUGCCGCGUCACAUUAAAAUAGAAUAGAUAUGCUUCACAAUUGACUUAUUCUU